UAUCCCACUUUUCAGCCUUGGUUUUCCCACCUUUUCCACCAAAUUUCAGCCCCACUUUUCCCCAAAUUCCAGCCUUCUAUCCCACUUUUCAGCCUUAUUUUUCCCUAUUUCCAGCCUCGCUUUUCCCAAAUUCCAGCCCCACUUUUCCCAAUUUCCAACCCCAGUUUUCCCAAAUUCCAGCCCUUUUAUCCCACUUUUCAGCCUUGGUUUUCCCAUCUUUUCCCCCAAAUUUCAGCCCCAUUUUUCCCAAAUUCCACCCUUUUAUCCCACUUUUCAGCCUUGGUUUUCCCAAUUUUCAGCCCAAAUUCCAGCCUCAGUUUUCUCAAUUUUCCAGCCCCAUUCUCCCAAAUUCCAGCCUUGGUUUUCCCAAAUUUCCCGUUUUGUUUCUCCCAAAUUCCAGCCCCAAUCUUCCCAAAAUUCCAGCCCUUCUAUCCCACUUUUCACCCUUGGUUCUCCCAACCUUCUGCCCCUUUUUUCCCAAAUUCCAGACUCGGUUUUCCCAAAUUCUAGCCCCACUUUUCCUAAAUUCUAUCCCUGCUUUUCCCAAAUUCCAGCCCCAAUUCCCAUCUUUCAUAUCCAUGGAAUUAUCCAGAUUUAUAAACAUCCAUGGAUUUAUCCCACCUGUGGGAAAUGUGUUUUUCCUAGUGGGAAAAGUCUGGAAAACUCCCAUGGAAUUCCAGAUAGAAUAGACCUGGAGGGAAUUGGUGGAUGGAGAGAGGUGGAAAAUCAGGAUUUAUGUGGAAAAGCAGGAUCUGAAAGGACAGAAAAUCGGGAUUUAGGUGAAAAAACGGGAUCUGAAAUGAUGGAAAACAAGAAAAAGCAGGAUCUGAAACAAUAGAAAACAGGGAAAAGGGGGAUCUGAAAUGAUGGAAAACCGGGAUUUGUGUGGAACAGCAGGAUCUGAAAUGAUGGAAAACAGGGAAAAACGGGAUCUGAAAUGAUGGAAAAC
rnacentral:lncRNA from 1 species